rnacentral:lncRNA from 1 species
GCUCCUCUCCACUUAGGAGGCUCUGCCCACUCACAUUCCAGGCCUCAGCUUGCCAUGUUUUCCUGUUAAGCCCAGAACCCUUCCCCUGGGUCCCUUCCUCAGAGGGGACAUGUUGGGAGCCACAGUCUCAGAGAUACUUGGGAUUUUAAACAUGAUGCAACUCUAGGGCUGACUUUGGAAUUCUGUGGGCUGUGCUUGGCCCAGAUCCCACCUUUGGGCCACUUUUGCUGCUGCUAUUAUUUUUAGUUGGUGGGGCAAUCAUUGUGUGCCUUUGUACAGUUUUCAUUUGGGAAGCCUUAGAGCUCUUUAACUCCACUCCAUUCUAUCACAUCCUUGUUUAGCAAUGAUCAUCCUUUUGCAUUACAAACUAGAAAAGCAACUCCGUAAGACUAACAAACUCUCUUCAACCAAGUAAAGGAGACUCCUUGUGGAGGGGAGCCCCUGCCCGCUCACCUGGAUGACCAUGCCUCACCUCUGCCGAUCACAUGCAAAUAUUUGUCCUGUUCUGAGACAUCCUCCUGGGUCCCAGCUUCUUCUCUUGAAGAUACAGAUUUCCAGUGCACCAUCAGAAGCCGAAGUAACUGUGAGUGGGAGGCAUUGGAGCCGGCUGGGAGGAACAUGUCUGGCCUGAUUUGAAGCUGCUACAUCUACUUUGAAAGAAGCCACAUAACCUUUGCUGCUACUUCAUUUCAAGUUUUCCUUUGAAUUUUCUAUUUCCUGAGCUGGGAGAAAUGAGAGGAUGCACCCUCUCCCUUUCUAACAGGUUAGACCAGGCAGAGGCCUAAAAAUGGCGUCUCAGGGUUUUAUCAAAGCCUUGAACUUCUGGCAGGAGCUUCCUUCUUUCAAGCUAUGCCGGCUUUCUUCAUGACUUUGAUUCACAUCUUCUUUGUCCUGCUAUUACAAAGGAGCUGUCCAUGUCUUCUCCACUCUCUUGGGGAGUAUAUGUAUUCCUUGUUUAUUCCUCCUCUAAAUCAGAGUCUUAUAAAUAUUCAGAAGUGCUGGCCAGCAAAGAGACUUGGAGUCAGGAUUUUUGGGUUGGUGGAUUUUUUUUCCAAUUCAAGCUUUUGGACACGUGUUCCUCCAGGAAGCUUGGAGCCUUAUCCUACUGCAGACCUCCAGAUCCUUUGAGGCCAACUGGCUGGCUAAUUAAUUAAUGGACCGGCUGAUUUAGCAAAUGGCCUUACAGAGGUGUUACUAAAACACUAAAAAAC